rnacentral:rRNA from 1 species
UACGAAGGGGGCUAGCGUUGCUCGGAAUCACUGGGCGUAAAGGGUGCGUAGGCGGGUCUUUUAAGUCAGGGGUGAAAUCCUGGAGCUCAACUCCAGAACUGCCUUUGAUACUGAAGAUCUUGAGUUCGGGAGAGGUGAGUGGAACUGCGAGUGUAGAGGUGAAAUUCGUAGAUAUUCGCAAGAACACCAGUGGCGAAGGCGGCUCACUGGCCCGAUACUGA